CAGGUGUUGGGUGCUAGGGAUCCAAUGGGCAUGAGAUGCUACCAUCUGGAGAAACAUCUGAAGGAGAAUGCCAAGCACAAACACCUGGUAUUCUUACUAAAUAAGUGUGAUCUAAUACCUGCUUGGGCAACAAAAGUGUGGUUGCAUACUCUAUUGAGGGACUAUCCCACCCUAGCAUUCCAUGCAAGCAUCAACAAGUCAUUUGGAAAAGUAAUGAAAAAGCUGGACACUUUGGCGUUGGGUUCAUUGACCCAAAUACCGUUAAUGAAAAGAUAUGGGAACGUCAUGGAAAAGAAACAGAGGAAAACUUGCUAUAGUUUUUGGUGGAUCAAAAUACUGAACCAGAAAUACUGUUUCCUUACAUCUACGAGUGAGUUUCUUAAAUAUCUAUUGGCUGAUCCUUGGCUGUUUGGCUUCUGUUCUGAAACUAGUUCAUUUCUCGUGAAGUCAUGAUUUUGGUGACAUGUUGGUCUACACUUCCCUUUAGAAAAUGAAUCUUGGUUUUCUAUGACUUUACUUGGAACUUAUCUUUAAUGACGCAGUUAAGUUUUGGCUUAUAUGGUUAUGUUCCAGUUUCGACUUGUUUUAAUUAGCUGGAAACAUCUUUGGAAAAUAGCUGAACAUCUUGUUUUAAUUAGCCUCUUAAUUUUAGCAAUCAUCUGCAUUUCAUAAAAUAGCCGAACAUAUUCUGCGAUGAUAGCAAUGGUUGUAUAUAUAAGAAAGUUCGUAAGGGGAACAAAAUUUCCUAGCUAAAUGCAAUUCCAAAUUCUGAAGUCGAAAUUUGACUAUCCUUCCAUGAGUCAUUUGACUGGUACAUAUCCUUCGACCAUGAGAAUGCAGGAUUACAAACAAUCAAGCUUUAUUAUUGCCAGAAAGGUAUUUCUAUGUUGUGUGAUGCAAUUAGGCGCAUUAUGCUAAUGUUUUAUCUGAGGGUGUUUGUAUGCAGCCUGCCAGAAAGCUAUUUCUAUUCAGUUGAUUCAGAUCAGGAUGCUGCAAAAUGAGGACAACAGUCAAGAUUGUCCAUGCCCCUAAGGUGCUCUCAGCUUCGGUCCAAACGGUAGAUCUCCGUUCUUGUCACGCUGUCCUGGAGCUGGGCAAUACAAUUCAGAGUGCCCAAGCCGGCCAUAGAUGAAGCAAAAGUGAGGUACGUUCUCAUACUGCAUGUCAUAUAAAUCUUGCUUCUUCCUUCUUGCUGAGUCAAUUAUGAUCGGAAAACACUAUGAUUCAGCUGGCGGAUCACACGCAAUGCGGCCGCCUCCUUCUACAUCGUACACAUGUCCUUAUGUACUCUCCGCUUCACACUCGCAACCAUGGCUGAUGCUCGAGCGUGCGCGCCCGAGCUCCGCUCCAGCCACUAUCAGCCUUGUUGCGUCACGCCAGACUCCUCUUUCGCCAUCCGUCAUUGCUCCGACCGACGAUGCUAUUUUAUACUUUUUGCAACAAAGGCUUUGUUGCAAAAGUUGUCCCGCAACAUCAUCUCUGUUGCAUAAAUUUCUUGAUUCGCACUGCACACAACAUCAUCUUUUCAGUGACUUUUUUCUGCAACAAUAUUCAUGUUGCAAAAGUCCUCCUGCAACAUCAUCUAUGUUGCAAAAAAAGUGAAGACAAAAAAAAUCCUGCAACACCACCACUGUUGCAAAAGUCCUCUUGCAACAUCAUCUAUGUUGUAUAAAAAGUUGAAGAAAAAAUAUUAAAAAAUAGGGUGAAAGUAACGCUUCAGUGGUUUUGCAACAAAGCAAUUGUUGCAGAGCGAGUUGUGCAACAUCUAUCUUAUUACAAUUUCAAACGCACCUCAUUUGAGAGAUCAGGCGGCUAUUUAUGCCUUAAUCCAACGACACAGGAGGCAGCGGAUCUUUUAAAUAGAUCCGUCAGCCGAUGCGUAGCGCGGCCCAUUAGGAUGCACCACCUAAGGGGUUUGGAAACAACAACAACCCUCGCACGCAGAAAGCCACCCAUAUGAUCAAACUGUACCGAGGUAGCAUUCUGGUCUAUUGGUGCUACCGCAACACUAUCCCCUAUAACAUCAUUCCGUACCCGGUCCUUCCUUGUGUGGCUACACAUCCAUUUCAACAUACACGUAUCCGCUACAUCUAAUUGUUGAACAUGUCGCCUUUUAGUUGGCUAACACUCAGCGUCAUACAACAUUGUGGGUCGAAUCGUCGUCCUAUAGAACCUGCUUUUUAGCUUUUGUGACACUCUUGUCACAGAGAAUGCCAGUAGCUUGGCGCCACUUCAUCCAUCCGACUUUGAUUCGAUGGUUCACAUCUUCAUCGAUAUCCCCAUCCUUCUGCAUCAUUGACCCCAAAUAUCAAAAGGUGUCCUUCUGAGGCACCACCUGCGCAUCAAGGCUAACCUCCUCCUCCUCGUUCCUAGUAGUACUGAAGCUGCACCUCAUUUACUCGGUUUUAGUUCUACUAAGCCUAAAGCUUUUUGAUUCCAAGGUUUGUCUCCAUUGCUCUAACUUCUUAUUAACCCCGUCCGACUAUCAUCGACUAGCACCACAUCAUAUGCAAAGAGCAUACACCAUGGAAUAUUUUCUUGUAUAUUCCUUGUGACCUCAUCCAUCACCAAAGCAAAAAAAGGGCUCAAAGCUGACCCCUGGUGCAGUCCUAUUUUAAUCGGAAAGUCAUCAGUGUCGCCAUCACUUGUUCGAACACUUGUCACAACAUUACUGUGCAUGUACUUGAUGAGGGUAAUGCAAUUUAUUGGGAUUUUGUGUUUCUCCAAGGCCACCACAAAAAUUUUGCGGUAUCUUAUCGUAGGCCUUCUCCAAGUCAAUGAACACCAUACGAAGGUCCUUCUUUUGCUCCAUGCAUCUCUUCAUAAGUUGUCAGCUUGUCAUACCAAGAAAAUGGCUUCCAUGAUUAACCUCCAGGCAUGAAACCAAACUAAUUUUUGGUUACGCUUGUCAUUCUUCUAGCAGUGCUCAAUGACUCUCUUCCCCCAUAGCUUCAUUGUAUGGCCCAUUGAUGACCCGCAAGUAUAGGGGAUCUAUCGUAGUCCUUUCGAUAAGUAAGAGUGUCGAAUCCAACAAGGAGCAGAAGGAAAUGACAAGC